GAUGAACGCUGGCGGCGUGCCUAAUACAUGCAAGUAGAACGCUGAAGCUUGGUGCUUGCACCGAGCGGAUGAGUUGCGAACGGGUGAGUAACGCGUAGGUAACCUGCCUCUUAGCGGGGGAUAACUAUUGGAAACGAUAGCUAAUACCGCAUAAAAGUCGAUAUCGCAUGAUAUUGAUUUGAAAGGUGCAAAUGCAUCACUAAGAGAUGGACCUGCGUUGUAUUAGCUAGUUGGUGAGGUAACGGCUCACCAAGGCGACGAUACAUAGCCGACCUGAGAGGGUGAUCGGCCACACUGGGACUGGGACACGGCCCAGACUCCUACGGGAGGCAGCAGUAGGGAAUCUUCGGCAAUGGGGGCAACCCUGACCGAGCAACGCCGCGUGAGUGAAGAAGGUUUUCGGAUCGUAAAGCUCUGUUGUAAGGGAAGAACGAGUGUGAGAGUGGAAAGUUCACACUGUGACGGUAACUUACCAGAAAGGGACGGCUAACUACGUG
rnacentral:rRNA from 1 species